UACGUAGGGUGCAAGCGUUGUUCGGAUUUACUGGGCGUAAAGCGCACGUAGGCGGUUCUUUAAGUCGGGGGUGAAAUCCUGGAGCUCAACUCCAGAACUGCCUUCGAUACUGGCGAUCUUGAGUCCGGAAGAGGUGAGUGGAACUCCUAGUGUAGCGGUGGAAUUCGUAGAUAUUAGGAAGAACACCGGUGGCGAAGGCGGCUCACUGGGCCGGUACUGACGCUGAGGUGCGAAAGCGUGGGGAGCAAACAGG
rnacentral:rRNA from 1 species